CAAUUUCUCGCUGGAAAAACUUCGCCGGCGACGGAGGUAAGCCUCCUCCCCUUCCUCUCUUCUCCCCCUUCCUUUCCAUGCCAGUGUGCAUGCUCGCCGGCGACCAGAGUCGCCGGAUUUUGUUGCGGAAGAACCUCUAUAUUUUGCUCGUUUUUCUUUGAUUUCCGACGUCGGUGGUCGCCGCCGACCACCGAUUUUGGCCCUCUUCUUAUCGGCGAG
rnacentral:lncRNA from 1 species